rnacentral:lncRNA from 1 species
AUUGCUUGACUUAACUGACCUUGGUGAUAACAAGGAAGAAACUCAGGAUUAUCAACAUCUUGAUUGUUUUGAGAGAUAGUGCGAGUGGGCGCAGGGAUGGAGCCAUCGAGAUGCCCAUAAAGAUUGUGACUAUGCAUAAGCAUUGAAACUUGAGCUUUCCACAGCGAGACUUUGUGACUGCCGGUUAAUUUUAUGGGCAGUUGGGUAACAGGAUAAAACUGCACAACAGUAUUGGCGUUGUUGACUCCAUCGGCCUUGGUCACAGAAGUAUUAGGGGCCCUUUGGAUAAGCAAGCAGAAAAAAAGAGGAUCAACUCAUGGGAGUAUUUAGAAGUGCUCCGAUACCAUAAAGAAGCAAAACCAGAAGAUGGGAAAAUAGUUAUCGUC